GGAUCUGUUCAAGUAGUCAGUUAUUUCAGUUGCAAACCCAGGCACGGGAUCUUUGUUAAAGUAGACAAAUUAAUUUUGGAUAAAAGUGGUCGAGCUCUUCAUAACUCUGUAGCUAGAGGUUCGACCUCAGAUUUGCAUAGCAAUGCGAUGAAACGCAGCUAGAGUAAGGUGGAAGGCAUGAGUGAAAGUGCUCGUAAAACUGCUCUCUCGGCCUGAGCUGUUUCCAGACGACUUGUAUCCAGAUAAUGUGAGCCCUGUUCCCGCUCUUUCAGCCAACGAUCGGCUGUCUGGAAUAGAUCGUGAGCCUCAGAUGAUGUCAUUGAAAGAAGGCCUUUCUGGCCGUUUCCACGACGAAGAUGACUCGGAUUCGAUUGCUAAGCUUUCCAACGUUCCAUCUCCUCUGGGUACGCAAGUGCGGCUGUGUCUCACCAGCAGUCUGAACAUCUGUCGGAAAGGUCUUUUGUUGGAAAGUCAUUCACUUCCGCCGAACGUCAUUCCUCUUGCGAAAUAAAAUGAAGCUUUGCUGAAGGAAAUAGCGCGUUUGAAGAAAAUUGUUAGAUCGUUAAAUUUAAAAAAAAAUUCGUUAAAUCACGAAGAGCGGAUUCGGAAACUAGAAUCGUUAAUUGACUUUCAACAAAAGAUUCGUUAGCACGAAUCCAACAAUGUUUUCAAGGUGGAAUCGCCAAAGUAUGAAGACAACACACACGCUGGGCCGAAAUUUUUGCUAUUAAUCCGCAGAAGAACUUUAACGAAUUUAUCAUCAAUCCGUCCUGGAAG